GUCGAGAAUUUUUCACAAUGGGGGAAACCCUGAUGGAGCGACGCCGCGUGGGGGAUGAAUGGCUUCGGCCCGUAAACCCCUGUCAUUUGCGAUCAACCGUUGUUAUUUAAAAGAUGACAGCCUGAUAGUAGCGAAAGAGGAAGGGACGGCUAACUCUGUGCCAGCAGCCGCGGUAAUACAGAGGUCCCGAGCGUUGUUCGGAUUCACUGGGCGUAAAGGGUGCGUAGGUGGUGAGGUGUGUCGGAUGUGAAAUCUCGGAGCUCAACUCCGAAACUGCAUUGGAAACUACCUUGCUGGAGGGUUGGAGGGGGGACUGGAAUACUUGGUGUAGCAGUGAAAUGCGUAGAUAUCAAGUGGAACACCAGUGGCGAAGGCGAGUCCCUGGACAACUCCUGACACUGAGGCACGAAAGCUAGGGGAGCAAACAGGAUUAGAAACCCCAGUAGUCC
rnacentral:rRNA from 1 species